rnacentral:rRNA from 1 species
AGUGAACGCUGGCGGUAGGCCUAACACAUGCAAGUCGAACGGCAGCACAGUAAGAGCUUGCUCUUACGGGUGGCGAGUGGCGGACGGGUGAGGAAUACAUCGGAAUCUACUUUUUCGUGGGGGAUAACGUAGGGAAACUUACGCUAAUACCGCAUACGACCUACGGGUGAAAGCAGGGGAUCUUCGGACCUUGCGCGAUUGAAUGAGCCGAUGUCGGAUUAGCUAGUUGGCGGGGUAAAGGCCCACCAAGGCGACGAUCCGUAGCUGGUCUGAGAGGAUGAUCAGCCACACUGGAACUGAGACACGGUCCAGACUCCUACGGGAGGCAGCAGUGGGGAAUAUUGGACAAUGGGCGAAAGCCUGACCCAGCAAUACCGCGUGGGUGAAGAAGGCCUUCGGGUUGUAAAGCCCUUUUGUUGGGAAAGAAAAGCAGCAGGUGAAUACCCCGAUGUUCUGACGGUACCCAAAGAAUAAGCACCGGCUAACUUCGUG